rnacentral:rRNA from 1 species
GAUCAUGGCUCAGGAUAAACGCUGGCGGCGCACAUAAGACAUGCAAGUCGAACGGAAGUCGUUAUAAAAAGGAUUGAAGAUUUAUCUGAUUGAGAUUUUAUAACAAUGGCUUUAGUGGCGGACUGGUGAGUAACGCGUGAGCAACCUGCCUACUAGAGGGGAAUAACAGUGAGAAAUCAUUGCUAAUACCGCAUAUGCCAUGAACAUCACAUGAUGAAAAUAGGG